rnacentral:tRNA from 1 species
GCCAAAAUAGCUCAGUUGGGAGAGUGUUAGACUGAAGAUCUGAAGGUCCCUGGUUCGAUCCCGGGUUUCGGCA